UCCGGAAGCAGCAAGCGUGCCUGGGCAGAGACCCCCAGAGUGUAAAGAGGUCCUGGGACAGGCUUUGCACGUUCCACAAGAGGAUCCUGCAGGACCUCCUCCUUUGCCAUAUGCUCCUUCAGCAGUUCUGUCUGCACAAUCCCCGGCCACAGAGACACACAGCUGACCCCAUGGCGCCGCAGCUCGUGGGCACAGUCAGCAGCCAGCUUGUCACACUGUGGAGAGGCGGAAGGCAGGGAGCCCCAAGGUCUCAGCUGCCCACGCUCCCCAGUGUGAUGCCUACUCUAGCCAACCAAGAGGAGCACAAGCAAAGGAACUGUCCAUGGAUGAGGCAGAGGAGGAGCUGAGAGGAGCCAGCCUUACCAUUCUGACCACUGGGGAUUGUACCUCCUGAGCUAUAGUGUCUCGCUGUGUCGUCUAGACUGGAGUGCAGUGGUGUGAUCAUGGCUCAACUCCUAGGCUCAAGCGAUCCUCCUGCCUCAGCCUCCGGAGUAGCUGCUGGGACUGCAGGAACGUGCCACCAUGCCUGGCUCAAACACAAAGUUUUUUCAUAAAACUCACUUGGCGGCAAAAUUCUACCUUACCUGAAGUUAUUUACGGGGUUUUUAAUUUCCACUUUGAAUAAAUAUUCACAUCUUGUUG
rnacentral:lncRNA from 1 species